rnacentral:misc_RNA from 1 species
AUUUUAUACUCAUCAGUGGUUUAUCCUCAUAACUAUGGUUUCAUCCCUCGCACAUUGUGUGAAGACAAUGAUCCCUUGGAUGUUUUAGUUCUCAUGCAGGUGAAUUGCAUUAUUCAGUAUAAGUUUUGUAUCUCGGAUUAAGUUGCAAUUUAGUUCUUUGAUCCCAAUUGAUAUGUGUAAGCUUUCAUUUUGACACAGUGAUCCACCUGAAUUGUUUGUCUAAUUAGCAGCCUGUCCUUCCGGGUUGCUUUCUGCGAGCCAGAGCCAUUGGACUUAUGCCCAUGAUUGACCAGUGAGA